rnacentral:rRNA from 1 species
UACGGAGGGUGCAAGCGUUAUCCGGAUUUACUUGGUUUAAAGGGUGUGUAGGCGGGUCUUUUAAGUCAGUGGUGAAAUCUCCGAGCUCAACUUGGAAACUGCCAUUGAUACUAUUGAUCUUGAAUUUUGUUGAGGUAGGCGGAAUAAGUCAUGUAGCGGUGAAAUGCAUAGAUAUGACUUAGAACACCAAUUGCGAAGGCAGCUUACUAAGCAAAUAUUGACGCUGAGGCACGAAAGCGUGGGGAUCAAACAGG